rnacentral:rRNA from 1 species
AAUCGCGGAUCAGAAUGCUGCGGUGAAUACGUUCCCGGGUCUUGUACACACCGCCCGUCACACCAUGGGAGUCGGAAAUUGCCCGAAGUCGGUGACCCAACCGUUUAUGGAGGGAGCUGCCGAAGGCAGGUCUGGUGACUGGGGUGAAGUCGUAACAAGGUACC